UCUACAUGAGUAUAGUGAAAGUUAUUGUUGUGUGUAUAAUUUGAUAAAGGCCUUUGGCUACAUAAUCAAACUGAAAGGAUAUUUUGUCUUAGUAAGCCCGUAAAGGUAGUUUUUAUCUGUCUACUGAUGCAUGCAAAAAUAUAGUAUUACAUCAUAAUUUACAUGUACUACGUUCUGUCUCAGUGAAACUUAAACUAUAUAUACAACGACAAAAAAAAAAUUAGCCGCGCCACGACAAAACCAACAUAGUGUGUUUGCGACCAGCAUGGAUCCAGACCAGCCUGCGCAUCCGCACAAUCUGAUCAGGAUCCAUGCUGUUUGCUUUCAAACCCUAUUACAAGUAGAGAAACUGAUAUAGCGACCAGCAUGGAUCCUUAUCAGACUACGCGGAUGUUGGUUUUGUCGUGACGCGGCUCAUUAAUUAGUAUAAAAGAUAUGGAUCACUACACACCAUUGAAGAUAUAUUUGCAAGGUAUAAAAAAAAUUAUUAAACUUACUGCAUUAACUUGGAUUGUAGGUGAAAUGUAACCCUGUACGAUAGGUAGGAUCGCAAUCUAACUUGUAUUUAUUGGAUAUACAUGUAGCAUAUUGGAUUUAAGGUAAAAUGUUGUGUUCAUAUUUCUUGUUUAUAUGUUCUUGUCGAUGACAAUAAAUGAAAUUAUGACUA